AUUGAACGCUGGCGGCAUGCCUUACACAUGCAAGUCGAACGGUAACAGGUCUUCGGAUGCUGACGAGCGGCGAACGGGUGAGUAAUACAUCGGAACGUGCCUAGUAGUGGGGGAUAACUACUCGAAAGAGUGGCUAAUACCGCAUGAGAUCUACGGAUGAAAGCAGGGGAUCGCAAGACCUUGUGCUACUAGAGCGGCCGAUGGCAGAUUAGGUAGUUGGUGGGAUAAAAGCUUACCAAGCCGACGAUCUGUAGCUGGUCUGAGAGGACGAUCAGCCACUCUGGGACUGAGACACGGCCCAGACUCCUACGGGAGGCAGCAGUGGGGAAUUUUGGACAAUGGGCGAAAGCCUGAUCCAGCAAUGCCGCGUGCAGGAUGAAGGCCUUCGGGUUGUAAACUGCUUUUGUACGGAACGAAAAGCCCCGGGUUAAUACCCUGGGGUCAUGACGGUACCGUAAGAAUAAGCACCAGCUAACUACGUGCCAGCAGCCGCAGUAA
rnacentral:rRNA from 1 species